GUGUGAGGUUCCCAAUGUUAAUCCAAGUCUCUGCCAACAAUGAGUCUGUCCUUUCUCACUGUCUCUCUGAUCUCCAUCCUCUGGCCCUGUCUGUCACUGGGAGCUUUGGUGACUCAGAGGCCGCGGACAGUCACAGCCAGAGAGGGGGAGACAGUGAGUUUGAGAUGUAGCCACAACGACAAAUCCCUUGAUAUGAUGCUUUGGUACAUCCAACCCCAUCAGGGAGGCCUCACAUUGAUUGGAUAUAAUGAAUACUCAACUGUAUAUGAGGACAAGUUUAAAUCCGGCUACAACAUUACCAAGACACCUGACAACAUGAACUCCACCCUGGAGAUCACCAACAUCAACCCAACCCAGGAGGGGGUGUAUUACUGCGCUGCGAGAGAAGGGCACAGCGUGAGAGAGAGACAGAUCUCUCGUACAUAAACCUCACACAGGAUACA